rnacentral:rRNA from 1 species
CCUACGGGAGGCAGCAGUGGGGAAUUUUGGACAAUGGGCGGCAAGCCUGAUCCGGCCAUGCCGCGUGUGGGAAGAAGGCCUUCGGGUUGUAAACCACUUUUGUCAGGGAAGAAACGGCUCUUACUAAUAUUAGGGGCUAAUGACGGUACCUGAAGAAUAAGCACCGGCUAACUACGUGCCAGCAGCCGCGGUAAUACGUAGGGUGCAAGCGUUAAUCGGAAUUACUGGGCGUAAAGCGUGCGCAGGCGGCUUUGCAAGACAGAUGUGAAAUCCCCGGGCUCAACCUGGGAACUGCAUUUGUGACUGCAUGGCUAGAGUACGGUAGAGGGGGAUGGAAUUCCGCGUGUAGCAGUGAAAUGCGUAGAUAUGCGGAGGAACACCGAUGGCGAAGGCAAUCCCCUGGACCUGUACUGACGCUCAUGCACGAAAGCGUGGGGAGCAAACAGGAUUAGAUACCCUGGUAGUCCACGCCCUAAACGAUGUCACUGGUUGUGUACAGNUGUNUGUCUAGUAACGAAGACGUACGCGUGAGU